rnacentral:rRNA from 1 species
GAUAAGUAAUGUGARUUGCAGAAUCCAGUGAAUCAUCGAAUCUUUGAACGCAUCUUGCGCUCUUUGGUAUUCCGAAGAGCAUGCCUGUUUGAGUGUUGU